AUCAGAGAAAAGAAGGGCAGAUUGGAGACACAACUAGAACCCUCCUGACAAGGCAAAGGCAACUCCCCUAGACUUCCCUAGACCCAAAGAUAGGACAGGGAGACAUCUCCAUUAGCAUACAGAAUGGAGAACAGAGAUUCUCAUGCAAGAACCACACUGAACUGUGGGACCAGAAAAGCCGGGAAGCACUGCAUCAUGGGGAUCUCUGCUCCAGAUGUUAAUGAACACAUGCCUGCACACACCCAGCUCAGCAGUUAUCAGACCAAUUCUAGUAAUGAAUCCUUGAUUGAUAUUCAAAAUACUGAAGCAGCCUAAUUUCAUUGUGAGCUCCCUGUAAGAAGCACCACUCAUAGCCAAGUGUGAUCAGCUCCUAUUGUCUAG